rnacentral:lncRNA from 1 species
UCGAGGGCAGUUUAGCAGUUCGGAACAGUUGGAGCCCUUCUGAAUGUCCGUUUGGGCUCAAAUUUGACAGGCAUGCUCGGUUUAACGUACUGAGUAAGAACAUAUCUUAAAUUUUUAGUUUCGACCCCAUUUGGUCACCGAAAACGGUACCGAACUAUAAUAUUUAUCAGAUAGCUAUCGGAUUUUAUUUCUCACUCUACCGGUGUCAGAAAAAUAUAAAACUUCAAAUCUAGCCUCAUAAAAAUAUUUCUGACCUAUCCUCCAAUUUUCAUAAUUUCUGAGACUAUGCAUUUUCUGCUAAUUUAUCUGUCCCGUUUCCAACAGAAAAUUCUAAAUCUUUUGUUUCCAGUCCGAUUUCAGCACAAGUUAUUUCUGACUUAUGUUUUACUCCUAAUAAUUCAAUAAAAAUAGUUUCUCAUGCUAUUUUUAUUUAUUUUUAUUUUUAUACCAAAAUCUAGUAUGUUACACACACACAGCCCAAGAUCACCAGGCGAUGUAAGACUCGUCUUGCUAGCCCGUCAUCCAGACCCUGGCUCAGCCGAGACUCGCCACACAUCUCCAGCUGGUGAACCGGCUCUGAUACCAAAUAUAACGACCCAUCCCACUAGCAAUAAUAACUCGUUGGGCCUAACAACCGGCCCAAAAUGCUUAAGCCCAAUUAUUAUUACUAGUGCCUAAGUCUCUUAUAAACCCAAUGACAACCCCAUUCCCAUCCGAUGUGGGACUAUUGGGGUGUCACAAGAUUUCUUCAUUUAACUUUCCAUUUAGAAAAGCUGUUUUU